rnacentral:rRNA from 1 species
ACCUGCCCAUUGAGAUUUGAAAGGCCGCGGUAUUAUGACCGUGCUAAGGUAGCAUAAUCAUUAGUCUUUUAAUUGGAGGCUGGAAUGAAUGGUCGGACAAGAGAUAAACUGUCUUAAGUAAAAAUAUUGAAUUUAACUUUUAAGUGAAAAGGCUUAAAUCCUCUAGGGGGACGAUAAGACCCUAUAAAACUUUAUAUUUUGAAAUAAUAAUUAAUUUUGUGUGGGAGGUUUAUUUUUAAGUAUUUUAUUGGGGUGAUAAGGAUAAAAUAAUAAGUAACUGUCUUUUUUUUAUUACAAUAAUAUUUGAGCAAAUGAACCUAGUAAGGGAAAGAAGAUUAAGUUACUUUAGGGAUAACAGCGUAAUUUUUUUUAAGAGUUCUUAUCGACAAGAAAGUUUGCGACCUCGAUGUUGAAUUAAAAAUUCUUUAUAGAGCAGAAACUAUAAAAGAAGGUCUGUUCGACCUUUAAAAUUUUAC